AUGGCCCAUGCCUGUUGUGAGCUUCGAGAUGCAAGUGAAGCAUAUUCCAAAGAAAGGUCCCUUUCAGGCUUUGACAGGGUCAGACGCGAGUAUCUUGUCUUGCGGGAGAAUCUGAAUCAAAUUCUUCAGAUGGAACAUGCAAUUAGCGCGUUUGAGCCCAGAAGGUGCCGUCAGUAGAGAGGCCGUUUGUUCAGUCUGCUAGCUUUUCUCCAGAGGAUCAGAUCAUGUGGUAUAGUAGCUGUAUACUAAUGUUUAUUACAGGAACUUGGUAUCUUUUGUAGACCGGUUUAUGACUAGUUUUGUGGUGUAUGAAGCGAAUAUAGUUGAGACUGACUGUCUGUUUUAUGUUGUGAUAUAAAGUUGGGACUUCAUUAGUUCA